GUGGCAGCGGUCGUACGAAAACAAGUCCACAUUUUGACUUGCUAAACUCGGUCCUCGGAGACAGACCGACGAGUGGUGUGGGAUGCACCGUGAAUUCGCUUUGUCUCUCGUCAAUUGGGUUGGAGGACGAGUCAUUUAAUGCUGGCAUAUCUCGUUUGGAGUGCAGUGAGUCGGAACCACCACCACCGUCGGCGUGUCUCGCCCGUGCACAUGCUUGGGUCUCUUGCCACAACAAGCAGCUCUUCCCAGGAAUCUCUGGUGACCCUAACCCAGCCAGUGGGCCGUAACAAACAGGUUAAAAGGAAGCGGGAUUCGUCAUCUGGCCUUGUCCCGUUAAUGGAGAGGAGUGAAGCCAGGGACGAAGAGC